GGGUUCGUUUUCCUUCUUUUUCGGGUUCGUUUUCCCUUUUUUUUGGUUCGUUUUCCCCCUUUUUUGGGCUCGCUUUCCCUUUUUCUCCGUUCGUUUUCCCUUUUUCUCUGGCUCAUUUUCCCCUUUUUUGGUUCAUUUCCUCUUUUUUGGUUCAUUUUUCCUUUUCUUUUGCUCCAUUUUUCCUUUUUGUGCUCCAUUUUUCCUUUUUUUGCUCCAUUUUUCCUUUUUUUUGCUCCAUUUUUCCUUUUUUCUUCAUUUUUCCUUUUUUCCUCAUUUUUCCUUUCUUUUUGCUUCAUUUUUUCCUUUUUUUUUUGAUUCUUUUUCCUUUCUUUUAAUUCUUUUUCCUUCGAUUCACUUUUCUUCCAUUCACUUUCCUUUUUUCUUUUGUCAUCUUUCCCUUUUUUCCUUUUUUGGUCAUUUUCCUUUUUUCCUUUUUUCCUGGUUCGUUUUCCUUUAUCCUGUUUUGUUUUCCUCUUUACGGUCAUUUUCCUUUCUUUGGGGUUCAUUUUCCUUUUAUUUUGUCAUUUCCUUUUUUGGUUCAUUUUCCUUUUAUUUUAAUUCAUUUUCCUUCUUUUUUUGUCAUUUUCCUUUUAUUUUGGUUCAUUUUCGUCUUUUUUCCUUUUUUUUUUAUUUUUUUGGUUCAUUUUCCCUUUGGUCACUUUUUUUUUGUUUAUUUUUCUUUUUUUCCUUUUUUUUGGGUCAUUUUUCUUUUUUCAUUUUUCUUUCUUUCUUUUUCUCUUCUCCAUUUUUUGCUCACUUUCCCUUUUUUCUUUUUGCUCACUUCCCCUUUUUUAUGUCCACUUUCCCCUUUUUUUUGUUUACUUUCCCUUUUUUUUUGUUCAUUUUUCCCUUAUUUUAACCAUUUACCGCCCGCUUUCUCCGCACCGCCCUGUACAUAGCCCCGCACGGCCACCCCCGGGAUGCGGCGGCCGCUCCGGCUUUUUUUGGGGGAGAUCCUCCUGAAAAAUGGAAAAAUAGCAAAAACCACCCCCAAAAUUCAACAAAAACCUGGGAAUUAAAUGAAAUAAACUCGGGGAGCGGCCGCCGGUGCCGGAUUUU
rnacentral:lncRNA from 1 species